rnacentral:misc_RNA from 1 species
GUCACGCUGUAAUAUUUUAUA